CGACAGCCCCGUUUAGGUCAUAAAUGUAGCCAUGCCGGUGUGGAGUAAACUUUAAAGGAAUUAACUCAGCCAACACACUUCGUCUGUAUCUCGGCCAGCCCCGGAAGCUAGCUCAGCUGUCGAUGAAAUCAAUGGUCAUGUACAUCAAUGAUGGUAUUUUGAGAGGUAAUCAUUGAAGUUGGACAUCACUGAAGGCCUCAAUGGAAAACGUACAGCCGCCACUGGUUAUUAGGUCAUAUCCAACGGUUGCGACGACAACUUUUUACUGUCAACCGAGGUAGGGUCGCGGGGGCAGCAGCCUAAGCAGGGAAGCCCAGACUUCCCUCUCCCCAGCCACUUUGCCCAGCUCUUCCCGGGGGAUCCCGAGGCGUUCCCAGGCCAGCCGGGAGAUAUAGUCUUCCCAACGUGUCCUGGGUCUUCCCCGUGGCCUCCUACCGGUUGGACGUGCCCUAAACACCUCCAUAGGGAGGCGUUCGGGUGGCAUCCUGACCAGAUGACGGAACCACUUCAUCUAGCUCCUCUCGAUGUGGAGGAGCAGCAGCUGUACUUGGAGCUCCUCCCGGAUGGCAGAGCUUCUCACCCUAUCUCUAAGGGAGAGCCCCGCCACCCGGCGGAAGAAAACUCCUUUAAGCCGCUUGUACCCUUGAUCUUGUCCUUUCGGUCAUAACCCAAAGCUCAUGACCGUAGAUGAGGAUGGGAACGUAGAUCGACCGGUAAAUUCUGAGCUUUGCCUCCCGGCUCAGGUCCUUCUUCAUCACAACGGAUCGAUACAGCGUCAGCAUUACAGAAGACGCCGCACCGAUCCGCCUGUCGAUCUCACGAUCUACUCUUCCCUCACUCAUGAACAAGACUCUGAGGUACUUGAACUCCUCCACUUGGGGCAGGGUCUCCUCCCCAACCCGGAGAUGGCACUCCACCCUUUUCCGGGCGAGAACCAUGGACUUGGACUUGGAGGUGCUAGAGGAGAAUCAGCACCUCCUCU